GACGAACGCUGGCGGCGUGCUUAACACAUGCAAGUCGAACGGAAAGGCCCUGCUUUUGUGGGGUGCUCGAGUGGCGAACGGGUGAGUAACACGUGAGUAACCUGCCCUUGACUUUGGGAUAACUUCAGGAAACUGGGGCUAAUACCGGAUAGGAGCUCCUGCUGCAUGGUGGGGGUUGGAAAUUUUCGGCGGUUGGGGAUGGACUCGCGGCUUAUCAGCUUGUUGGUGGGGUAGUGGCUUACCAAGGCUUUGACGGGUAGCCGGCCUGAGAGGGUGACCGGCCACAUUGGGACUGAGAUACGGCCCAGACUCCUACGGGAGGCAGGAGGGGGGAAUAUUGCACAAUGGGCGGAAGCCGGAUGCAGCAACGCCGCGGGCGGGAUGACGGCCUUCGGGUUGUAAACCGCUUUCGCCUGUGACGAAGCGUGAGUGACGGUAAUGGGUAAAGAAGCACCGGCUAACUACGU
rnacentral:rRNA from 1 species